rnacentral:rRNA from 1 species
UACGAAGGGGGCUAGCGUUGUUCGGAGUUACUGGGCGUAAAGGGCGCGUAGGCGGCGCACCAAGUCAGGCGUGAAAGCCCUGGGCUCAACCCCGGAACUGCCUUUGAUACUGGGUAUCUCGAGUCCGGAAGAGGUGAGUGGAAUUCCGAGUGUAGAGGUGAAAUUCGUAGAUAUUCGGAGGAACACCAGUGGCGAAGGCGGCUCACUGGUCCGGUACUGACGCUGAGGUGCGAAAGCGUGGGGAGCAAACAGG